rnacentral:rRNA from 1 species
AGCGAACGCUGGCGGCAGGCCUAACACAUGCAAGUCGAACGAACCUUUCGGGGGUAGUGGUGGACGGGUGAGUAACACGUGGGAACGUGCCUUUAGGUUCGGAAUAACUCAGGGAAACUUGUGCUAAUACCGAAUGUGCCCUUCGGGGGAAAGAUUUAUCGCCUUUAGAGCGUCCCGCGUCUGAUUAGCUAGUUGGUUGAGGUAAUGGCUCACCAAGGCGACGAUCAGUAGAUGGUCUGAGAGGAUGAUCAGCCACAUUGGGACUGAGACACGGCCCAAACUCCUACGGGAGGCAGCAGUGGGGAAUCUUGCGCAAUGGGCGAAAGGCUGACGCAGUCAUGCCGCGUGAAUGAUGAAGGUCUUAGGAUUGUAAAAUUCUUUCACCGGGGACGAUAAUGACGGUACCCGGAGAAGAAGCCCCGGCUAACUUCGUG